ACAACAACAUUCGGACCGUCGGUCUACCGAGCAAUAUCACCCGCUCGGUGGAAGAUCUUCCCUUUGUUUCCCGUU
rnacentral:pre_miRNA from 1 species